AUUGAACGCUGGCGGCAUGCUUUACACAUGCAAGUCGAACGGUAACAGGCCGCAAGGUGCUGACGAGUGGCGAACGGGUGAGUAAUGCAUCGGAACGUGCCCAGUCGUGGGGAUAACGCAGCGAAAGCUGCGCUAAUACCGCAUACGAUCUAUGGAUGAAAGCGGGGGACCGUAAGGCCUCGCGCGAUUGGAGCGGCCGAUGUCAGAUUAGGUAGUUGGUGGGGUAAAGGCUCACCAAGCCAACGAUCUGUAGCUGGUCUGAGAGGACGACCAGCCACACUGGGACUGAGACACGGCCCAGACUCCUACGGGAGGCAGCAGUGGGGAAUUUUGGACAAUGGGCGCAAGCCUGAUCCAGCAAUGCCGCGUGCAGGAAGAAGGCCUUCGGUUGG
rnacentral:rRNA from 1 species